rnacentral:lncRNA from 1 species
AGAGAUACUAGAUAUUUUUUUUUUUUUGACUUAAGAUGAACGAAACAAAAACUAAAACGAAAGUAAAGGAGGGAUACAACCUAGGGUGUAGAACCUUUCGGCUCUGAUACCAGAUGAUAUACGCUCCAAGGGUCACACGUACGCACGAACUAGGGUCGAUCGAGUUGGCCUUCGCUCUCUCUCGAUAAAACCGCAAACAAGACGAAACUCAAUGGAAC